rnacentral:rRNA from 1 species
UACGAAGGACCCAAGCGUUAUCCAGAUUUAUUGGGUUUAAAGGGUGCGUAGGCGGAUUAUUAAGUCAGUGGUGAAAGCCUGCAGCUUAACUGCAGAAUUGCCAUUGAUACUGAUGAUCUUGAGUAUGAUUGAGGUGGGCGGAAUGUGUCAUGUAGCGGUGAAAUGCUUAGAUAUGACACAGAACGCCGAUUGCGAAGGCAGCUCACUAAGCCAUAACUGACGCUGAUGCACGAAAGCGUGGGGAGCAAACAGG